UACGUAGGGAGCAAGCGUUGUUCGGAUUUACUGGGCGUAAAGGGCGCGUAGGCGGCGUGACAAGUCACUUGUGAAAUCUCCGGGCUUAACCCGGAAAGGUCAGCCGAUACUGCGGGGCUAGAGUGCAGAAGGGGCAACUGGAAUUCUCGGUGUAGCGGUGAAGUGCGUAGAUAUCGAGAGGAACACCUGCGGCGAAGGCGGGUUGCUGGGCUGACACUGACGCUGAGGCGCGAAAGCUAGGGGAGCGAACGGG
rnacentral:rRNA from 1 species